rnacentral:misc_RNA from 1 species
AAGUCGUAACAAGGUUUCCGUAGGUGAACCUGCGGAAGGAUCAUUACCUAGAGUUGCGGGCUUUGCCUGCCAUCUCUUACCCAUGUCUUUUGAGUACCUUCGUUUCCUCGGCGGGUUCGCCCGCCGAUUGGACAAAACUUAAACCCUUUGUAAUUGAAAUCAGCGUCUGAAAAAAACAUAAUAGUUACAACUUUCAACAACGGAUCUCUUGGUUCUG